rnacentral:rRNA from 1 species
ACGGGGCCCGCACAAGCGGAGGAACAUGUGGUUUAAUCGAUGAUACGCGAGGAACCUUACCUGGGCUUAAAUGUAGAGUGCAUUUUUUAGAGAUAGAAAUUCCCUUCGGGGCUUUCUGCAAGGUGCUGCAUGGUUGUCGUCAGCUCGUGCCGUGAGGUGUCGGGUUAAGUCCCAUAACGAGCGCAACCCUUAUCGUUAGUUGCCAGCUGGUAAAGCAGGGGACUCUAGCGAAACUGCCACCGUAAGGUGAGAGGAAGGUGGGGAUGACGUCAAAUCAGCACGGCCCUUAUGUCCAGGGCUACACACGUGUUACAAUGGCCGGCACAGAGGGCAGCUACCUGGUGACAGGAUGCUAAUCUCGAAAACCGGUCUCAGUUCGGAUCGAAGUCUGCAACUCGACUUCGUGAAGCUGGAUUCGCUAGUAAUCGCGCAUCAGCCAUGGCGCGGUGAAUACGUUCCCGGGCCUU